AUUCCAGGAAAACCGUUACAAACACACCUGAGGUCGUGGCUCCAGAGUAUACAGUUUCCCUUUUGUCUCAGGCCCGAUGUGGCUUGGCCAGCGCUGGUCACUGCCUGGGGCAGGGGCAGUGGGGCAGGCCUGGCUCGUUGUCGCAGUGAAUCAUCGUCACAGUGUCGGCUGUAACUGCAGAGUCGCCUCCGUCCUGUGUGCCGUGUCCGCAGAGAGCUUUUCUGGGUGUGCUCGCAGCGCCCGCCUGCGCCCCUGGCUUCAAGCUGAGCGUGGGGGGUGGGGGUGGUCCCGGCGGUGCCCCCUUUCUGCGUCCGUUCUCCCCCCGCCCCAGGGGCAUGUGCUCAGUGACACCCCCUCCUCCGGCGUCCACCACGCGUGCAGUCCUGGGAAGUGGCGGGCAGUGGGCCCGAUCCCUGUCCCCUGACAGCCUCUGUGAAUUCGGGCCCCCCCCCCACAGCAGCUUGGCCUUGACCCCAGCCCACAACGUGACAGAGGAGGGACGGGAAUCCAGGCAUCUGUGACAUCAAGGUGCAUGCUGUCCAGACACAGCUUGGUGCUCUGGCCGUGGGGACCGGGGCAGCCCCCAGGCUGUUCCCCUGGCCCCGUGGCCUCUGUCCACGCCGACAGCCCUGGUCUGUGUCUGUUCACGUUUGUGGCCCCUCCAGGGCCCUGGCCCGCGCCUGCCAGUUCAGAGGCUCUGUUUGGGAAGCUGCUGUUGGAGUUUGUUUGGGGUCACACCUGUCCUCUGGGGCUGCAGAGGUCGGGUCUCGACCCUACCCAAGUCUCUAUUUGAUGCCUGAGAUUUGGACCAAAUGAGACAGAGCAAGUGGGUAAAGGGAGCGUUUGACCUUUGCUGCCACUUCAAGGAGCCGGGGAGAAAAAAUGGGGUUUAAAGUGAGGAAAACGGCUUCAAAGUCUCACAGCCUGUGUGGCCCGUGGCCUGGCCCCGGGCCAGCUGUGUUCCCCCAAUGGUGACACAGUCACAGGCCGACCGUUCAGCCACUAACACUUCGAGAUGGCCCCGGGCUCUCCUAGCCUUGCCAAAAGGAGACCAGGCUCUCGGGCCAAGGGGGAGAUGUGAAACGCCUGCGGCCGCGGAGGAAAGGCUUUUGUCCAGCCCGGCUUAUCUGAUCUCCCAGCUUGUAGUUCUGUGUUGUCAAAACAGGCUGCUUCCUGUUACACAAGCGAGCUGCUGAGCGUGGGGGCUGCCGGCUUGGCGCAAGCCCAGUGCAGCGGGGGUGGUGGCCCUCCGUCCCUGCUGGGUUUGGAUCGUGGAGAAGCCCGCGUGAGGGACCCAGGUGAGCUGGGCAAGCAGAUCCUUCCACGGCCUGGCCUUGCCCUCUGGCCGUGUGGCCUGCACUGUGUCACUUUGCUCCUAAACUCUCCAGCGGGGGGAGCAGCAGGAAGGCGAGGCUGAGACACAAGUGGGGGAGAUGCCGAGCGUGGGCUUCGGUGGGGCCCGGGUUAGACGGGAGCAGAGGCUGCAUGUCUGACGGCAUGGGGAUCCCCACUUCAUGUGGGGAAGGUGUGCACCCAGCACGUGGUCACCGUCACCUCCGUGACAUGAGAGCGGGAAACGGGAGCCCAGCUGGGCUGUGGGGUCAGCGGGUGAGAGGCUCAUGGCCGGCGGGGGGACGCCCUCGGUGGGGAUUCAGACACGCGGCAGAGCCGGUGUGCCACCAGCCCAGGACCCAUCGCUGAGGCAGGGAGGCAGGCGCGGCUGGCCUUGUUAUGUCUACACCCCACCCACUUCCUCAUGGGGUUAUUUUAAGCCAGUCCCAGACGUCGUAUUACUUCAUCCAUAAAUACUUAUGAGGGUAUUUCUAAAAGUUAGAUAAGAACUAAAAAAGCCCCACAAAACCACAGUUCCAUCUUUGCAGCUGAAAUAAUUGGCAGUGCUUCCUCCAAAUUGUCAGAUAUCAGUGUUCCGAUUUCCCGGUUGUCUCUUAAUAUUUAAAGCAGCCAGUUCUGCAGUAUUUUUCCUCUCUGGCCCAGGCUCCCGGCUGGGCACGGGGAGGGCGUCAGGGAAGGGGCUCAGGCCGUCGUCCGGAGCGUUUGCAGGAGGUGCACCUGUGGUGGUGGGGCUGGGGACAGGGCCUGGGAGCCCCAGGGCACCCGGAAUCUGGUCACCCCCAAAGUGAGCGGUGUGUGACGAAGAGAAGGAUGGCCUUCCCCCCGGGGGACCCGCGUGCCCCAGUGCAGCGGCCAUGCGGAGACUGCGGGUCUGGAGGGGCUGGGACCCCGCAGGGGGUCUUGGCCGCUCUCCUGGGACUCAGUCUUUAUGGGAGGCGUUCUGACAUGGAGCCGCUGCCACUUGGAAGCCUCUCUUCCCCGGGGUCUGUGAGCCCUCCUGCCCACCCGCCCCCACCACUGACCUUGCCCCCCGGUCAAACUUGCCCUUAGCCUGGGAACUGAAUCCCACGAUGGAGAAGCUGGUUUGGGCAGAAAGGAACUUGGCAGGUUCUGACUACCGGUGAACUCCGGGGGGUGUGUCCCCAGCCCUGGCCUGGCAUGGAGGCCACGUUUCAGGGGGACGUAGCACAACACAGAAGUCCUGACUACAGCUCUGGAGGCCAGAAGUGCAGAACAAACGUGUCCGGGGCUUCCUUCCUCUCCUCCAGGUAGAACCACUCCUGCCUUUUCCAGCUUCCACAGGCACCUGUGUCCUGAGCUGAGGUGCCUUCCUGUCUGCAAACCAGCGCCUCUGGGUGUCUCUCUGGCUCGGACCCUCCAGCCUCCCUCCUUCCCUACCAGACCCUCGGGGUUCGCCCUUCCUCCCCAAACCCUCUGCUCAAUCUCGUCCAGUCUCUUUUGCUGCGAGGUGACAGUCGCCCAGCCUGGGGCCUCGGUGUGGCUGUCUCAGGGAGCUGUCACUCCGCAGCCACAAACACCACACAAUGUUGUGUCAAGUGGUCGGAGACACGCCCAAGGUGGACGCGGCUCCUCCGGUGGUGGCUGCGAUUCGGUGUACCGUUCAGGUAAACCUUUGUGUCGUCAGCCCAGGAAGGUACGAAAGAAAAGCUGCUAGUUGGGGUAAGUAGCUUUUUAGACACACCUCAGGUGCUGGAGCUGCUCUGCUGCCCGUAGUCCGUCUCCGCCCGAAACAGUGCUUUGCUUCACUUCCAGAGUCUGAGCGGGAAUCGCCUGUGCGGGGUGAGGUGGGGGGCGGAUCUGGGGGCUCGGGUCACACGAUGGCUGCCAUCACCUCUCCCGGGCUGGGGGGCAGUUUUGAGAGAGCUGGGAGCUGUCAGCUGUGCCCUGGGGUUCGCUAACCCUAACCCUCCCCCAGGGGGUGGCAGACGCCCUGCUGCUUCCUCUCCAGGGCUGAACUCGCUGGGGCCCGUUCUCAACCCCCGCUCUCUCCCUGGCUUCUCGCAUCAUUCACUGAUUGGAUCAGCAUUGAUAUUGUCUUCCGGGAACGGUGGAAGAUGAGGAGACAGGCGCAAAAAAUACAAAUGUGAAUGUUGUGCCUUUCUCAAAGAGCUUCCCUUCUCCAUUGGGCAGAUCUCAGCCAGCGAAUUAUGCAGACACCAGGGGGCGGCUGGCUGGGACCUGGGACCAGGAGGCAGCUGGCUGGGACCCCGGAGGCUCCCCACCGGAACCUGACCUUCCCUGACCUCAGGCUUCCAGCCUCCAGCAGGGGAGCAGCAAAGCCUGUCACUUUUGUAAAAAGUAGCAGAGCGAUUCCUGUGCCAUUUACCUGGUUUCUGCUCGGCAUUCACACUGGAAGAAGGUCCCCUAGGACACCAGCAGCACCAGGAUUCAGAACUGCCGGCAACACAAGGAUCCUGGCUCUUGCCUGCUUUCAGUCACACUCCUGCACCUUGAUGUGGUUUUAAAUGUUGUGUCCAGAACUUCCUCUUGUCACCUUUGGAAGGACUGGUCACCGGGCACUGCUGUCACUGCCAGGAACCUGUUCUUUUCUCUGUUCUUUGCAUGUUAUGAAAAUUACCUCCUUGUCAGGUGUAUGGAAUCCCCCCCCCCAAUUUUUCCUUUAUUCCUCAUGUUUAUUUCAAAAGCCUACUUGGGUGAGAGACUGUUCAGUUUGUAGGUACAAUACCAAAUGCAAGCUGUAAAGGUAUCAUCUGAAAACAGAGCUUAGAAAGCAUAACACUGUUCGUUGUACCAGGCUUUUUCUCAGUCCUCUGCAUUUUGUGACCAAAAAGGUGACUAGAUUUUCUUUAAAGCAGUAUUCUUCAUUUUAAGACUGUAAAAAAUGUAAAAAUAGGCAAGAAUAGA